AUUGAACGCUGGCGGCAUGCCUUACACAUGCAAGUCGAACGGCAGCACGGGUGCUUGCACCUGGUGGCGAGUGGCGAACGGGUGAGUAAUACAUCGGAACAUGUCCUGUAGUGGGGGAUAGCCCGGCGAAAGCCGGAUUAAUACCGCAUACGAUCUACGGAUGAAAGCGGGGGACCUUCGGGCCUCGCGCUAUAGGGUUGGCCGAUGGCUGAUUAGCUAGUUGGUGGGGUAAAGGCCUACCAAGGCGACGAUCAGUAGCUGGUCUGAGAGGACGACCAGCCACACUGGGACUGAGACACGGCCCAGACUCCUACGGGAGGCAGCAGUGGGGAAUUUUGGACAAUGGGCGAAAGCCUGAUCCAGCAAUGCCGCGUGUGUGAAGAAGGCCUUCGGGUUGUAAAGCACUUUUGUCCGGAAAGAAAUCCUUGGCCCUAAUACGGUCGGGGGAUGACG
rnacentral:rRNA from 1 species